UCCCUCAUUCUGUGGAUGAGUGAAUUGACAUUAGGAGUGUUAGAACAGUUUUACCAAGACCACACAGCUAGUGAAAAAUUGAACUGGGAUUCCAAACUGGGACCUGUGCAGGUAGCUGGAAUUCAUGGUGAAGAGCAUAGUGCCUGGGGUUGCCGCACUGGAUUUGGAGCAGAGGCAACGUAACUCUUGGAGUUUGUAGCUUCCUUGCCAUUGCCCACGCUUGCCUGGCAGGUUGGAGCUUGUGUGUGCACGUGAGCCAAGGGGCUGCUUUGGUGGUCACCAAAGCUGGGCAAAUGCCAGGGAGAGGUGGCCGGCCAUGCUUGCAACUGACAGUCCCACUGGCCAGCCGGGGUCCCCAUCCCUCCUGUGGCCCUUAUGAGGCUGGGGCA
rnacentral:lncRNA from 1 species